UGGGGAAUAUUGGACAAUGGGCGAAAGCCUGAUCCAGCCAUGCCGCGUGUGUGAAGAAGGUCUUCGGAUUGUAAAGCACUUUAAGUUGGGAGGAAGGGCAGUAAGCGAAUACCUUGCUGUUUUGACGUUACCGACAGAAUAAGCACCGGCUAACUCUGUGCCAGCAGCCGCGGUAAUACAGAGGGUGCAAGCGUUAAUCGUAAUUACUGGGCGUAAAGCGCGCGUAGGUGGUUCGUUAAGUUGAAUGUGAAAGCCCCGGGCUCAACCUGGGAACUGCAUCCAAAACUGGCGAGCUAGAGUAGGGCAGAGGGUGGUGGAAUUUCCUGUGUAGCGGUGAAAUGCGUAGAUAUAGGAAGGAACACCAGUGGCGAAGGCGACCACCUGGGCUCAUACUGACACUGAGGUGCGAAAGCGUGGGGAGCAAACAGG
rnacentral:rRNA from 1 species